rnacentral:rRNA from 1 species
UUAAGUUAAUAAGGGCGCACGGUGGAUGCCUUGGCACUAGGAGCCGAAGAAGGACGUGACAAACGACGAUAUGCCUUGGGUAGCUGUAAGUAAGCGAUGAUCCAGGGAUUUCCGAAUGGGGGAACCCAACAGGUACUACCUGUUACCCGCAUCUGUUAAGGAUGUGAGGAGGAAGACGCAGUGAACUGAAACAUCUAAGUAGCUGCAGGAAGAGAAAGCAAAAGCGAUUGCCUUAGUAGCGGCGAGCGAAACGGCAGGAGGGCAAACCGAAGAGUUUACUCUUCGGGGUUGUAGGACUGCAAUGUGGACUCAAAGAUUAUAGAAGAAUGAUUUGGGAAGAUCAGCCAAAGAGAGUAAUAGCCUCGUAUUUAAAAUAGUCUUUGUACCUAGCAGUAUCCUGAGUACGGCGGGACACGUGAAAUCCCGUCGGAAUCUGGGAGGACCAUCUCCCAACCCUAAAUACUCCCUAGUGACCGAUAGUGAACCAGUACCGUGAGGGAAAGGUGAAAAGCACCCCGGGAGGGGAGUGAAAUAGAACCUGAAACCGUGUGCCUACAACAAGUUCGAGCCCGUUAAUGGGUGAGAGCGUGCCUUUUGUAGAAUGAACCGGCGAGUUACGUUAUGAUGCGAGGUUAAGUUGAAGAGACGGAGCCGUAGGGAAACCGAGUCUGAAUAGGGCGAAUUAGUAUUAUGACGUAGACCCGAAACCAUGUGACCUACCCAUGAGCAGGUUGAAGGUGCGGUAAGACGCACUGGAGGACCGAACCAGGGCACGUUGAAAAGUGCUUGGAUGACUUGUGGGUAGCGGAGAAAUUCCAAACGAACUUGGAGAUAGCUGGUUCUCUCCGAAAUAGCUUUAGGGCUAGCGUCGACAUAAAGAUUCUUGGAGGUAGAGCACUGUUUGGGUGAGGGGUCCAUCCCGGAUUACCAAUCUCAGAUAAACUCCGAAUGCCAAUGAAUUAUGGUCGGCAGUCAGACUGCGAGUGCUAAGAUCCGUAGUCGAAAGGGAAACAGCCCAGACCACCAGCUAAGGUCCCAAAAUAAUUGUUAAGUGGAAAAGGAUGUGGGGUUGCACAGACAACUAGGAUGUUAGCUUAGAAGCAGCUAUUCAUUCAAAGAGUGCGUAAUAGCUCACUAGUCGAGUGACCCUGCGCCGAAAAUGUACCGGGGCUAAAACAAUUUACCGAAGCUGUGGAUACCUUUAUAGGUAUGGUAGGAGAGCGUUCUAUGUGUGAUGAAGGUAUACCGUGAGGAGUGCUGGAACGCAUAGAAGUGAGAAUGCCGGUAUGAGUAGCGAAAGACAGGUGAGAAUCCUGUCCACCGUAAGACUAAGGUUUCCAGGGGAAGGCUCGUCCGCCCUGGGUUAGUCGGGACCUAAGGAGAGACCGAAAGGUGUAUCCGAUGGACAACAGGUUGAUAUUCCUGUACUAGAGUAUGUAGUGAUGGAGGGACGCAGUAGGCUAACUAAAGCAGACGAUUGGAAGUGUCUGUCUAAGCAGUGAGGUGUGAACUGAGUCAAAUGCUUAGUUCUAUAACAUUGAGCUGUGAUGGGGAGCGAAGUUUAGUAGCGAAGUUAGUGACGUCACACUGCCAAGAAAAGCUUCUAGCGUUUAAACAUACUCUACCCGUACCGCAAACCGACACAGGUAGUCGAGGCGAGUAGCCUCAGGUGAGCGAGAGAACUCUCGUUAAGGAACUCGGCAAAAUGACCCCGUAACUUCGGGAGAAGGGGUGCUGACUUUACGUCAGCCGCAGUGAAUAGGCCCAAGCAACUGUUUAUCAAAAACACAGCUCUCUGCUAAAUCGUAAGAUGAUGUAUAGGGGGUGACGCCUGCCCGGUGCUGGAAGGUUAAGAGGAGUGCUUAGCGCAAGCGAAGGUAUGAAUUGAAGCCCCAGUAAACGGCGGCCGUAACUAUAACGGUCCUAAGGUAGCGAAAUUCCUUGUCGGG